rnacentral:rRNA from 1 species
CCUACGGGUGGCAGCAGUGAGGAAUAUUGGUCAAUGGGCGGACGCCUGAACCAGCCAAGUCGCGUGAGGGACUAAGGCCCUACGGGUCGUAAACCUCUUUUGCCGGGGAUCAGUGCCCAGCUCGCGAGCUGGGCGGGAGCGUACCCGUAGAAAAAGCCUCGGCUAACUCCGUGCCAGCAGCCGCGGUAAUCCGGAGGAUGCGAGCGUUCUCCGGAUUUAUUGGGUUUAAAGGGUGCGUAGGCGGGCCUUCAGGCCGGCGGUAAAAUUGCGGGGCUCAACCCCGCCGAGCCGUCGGAACCGGGGGCCGUGAGUACCGGAGAAGUACGCGGAAUGCGUGGUGUGGCGGUGAAAUGCAUAGAUAUCACGCAGAACCCCGAUUGCGAAGGCAGCGUACCGGACGGUCACGGACGCUGAGGCACGAAAGCGCGGGUAUCGAACAGGAUUAGAUACCCCGGUAGUC